rfam:Phalacrocorax carbo contig151669, whole genome shotgun sequence.
AUGGCAGUGAUGAUUGGCGCAGGGGUACGGACCUCAGCUAGAUCAUGGGAGCUGAAUGCAAGCUGGGUUUUUUGGUGUAGCCUGCGUGUGGCCGGCUCACUGGAAACAGGUUUGCAUGAGACUCUGCCAAAAACUGAGCCAU